rnacentral:rRNA from 1 species
AUUGAACGCUGGCGGCAUGCCUUACACAUGCAAGUCGAACGGUAACGCGGGGCAACCUGGCGACGAGUGGCGAACGGGUGAGUAAUGCAUCGGAACGUGCCCAGUAGUGGGGGAUAGCCCGGCGAAAGCCGGAUUAAUACCGCAUACGACCUACGGGUGAAAGCGGGGGAUCGCAAGACCUCGCGCUAUUGGAGCGGCCGGUGUCAGAUUAGGUUGUUGGUGGGGUAAAGGCCUACCAAGCGUACGAUGUGUAGCUGGUCUGAGAGGACGACCAGCCACACUGGGAAUGAGAGACGGCCCAGACUGCGACGGGAGGCAGCAGUGGGGAAUUUUGGACAAUGGGGGCAACCCUGAUCCAGCCAUGCCGCGUGCGGGAAGAAGGCCUUCGGGUUGUAAACCGCUUUUGUCAGGGAAGAAAUUGUCCGGGCUAAUACCUCGGGCCGAUGACGGUACCUGAAGAAUAAGCACCGGCUAACUACGUGCCAGCCGCCGCCGUAACAC